AAGUCGUAACAAGGUCUCCGUUGGUGAACCAGCGGAGGGAUCAUUACCGAGUUUACAACUCCCAAACCCAAUGUGAACGUUACCAAACUGUUGCCUCGGCGGGAUCUCAUGCCCCGGGUGCGUCGCAGCCCCGGACCAAGGCGCCCGCCGGAGGACCAACCCAAAACUCUUUUUUUGUAUACCCCCUCGCGGGUUUUUUACUUCUGAGACUUUCUCGGCGCCCCUAGUGGGCGUUUCGAAAAUGAAUCAAAACUUUCAACAACGGAUCUCUUGGUUCUG
rnacentral:misc_RNA from 1 species